UGGGGAAUUUUGGACAAUGGGCGAAAGCCUGAUCCAGCAAUGCCGCGUGUGUGAAGAAGGCCUUCGGGUUGUAAAGCACUUUUGUCCGGAAAGAAAUCCUUGGCUCUAAUACAGUCGGGGGAUGACGGUACCGGAAGAAUAAGCACCGGCUAACUACGUGCCAGCAGCCGCGGUAAUACGUAGGGUGCAAGCGUUAAUCGGAAUUACUGGGCGUAAAGCGUGCGCAGGCGGUUUGCUAAGACCGAUGUGAAAUCCCCGGGCUCAACCUGGGAACUGCAUUGGCGACUGGCAGGCUAGAGUAUGGCAGAGGGGGGUAGAAUUCCACGUGUAGCAGUGAAAUGCGUAGAGAUGUGGAGGAAUACCGAUGGCGAAGGCAGCCCCCUGGGCCAAUACUGACGCUCAUGCACGAAAGCGUGGGGAGCAAACAGGAUUAGAUACCCUGGUAGUCCACGCCCUAAACGAUGUCAACUAGUUGUUGGGGAUUCAUUUCCUUAGUAACGUAGCUAACGCGUGAAGUUGACCGCCUGGGGAGUACGGUCGCAAGAUUAAAACUUAAAUGAAUUGACGGGGUCAAGCUG
rnacentral:rRNA from 1 species